rnacentral:rRNA from 1 species
GUUCCUACGGGAGGCAGCAGGGAAUUUUCGUCAAUGGGCGCAAGCCUGAACGAGCAAUGCCGCGUGAACGAGGAAGGUCUUCGGAUCGUAAAGUUCUGUUGAAGGGGAAAAAGAGCGGAGAGAGGAAAUGAACUCCGAUUGAUAUUACCCUUCGAGGAAGUCACGGCUAACUAUGUGCCAGCAGCCGCGGUAAUACGUAGGUGGCGAGCGUUAUCCGGAAUGAUUGGGCGUAAAGGGUGCGUAGGCGGCCUGCUAAGUCUGGUGUGAAAAGUACCGGCUCAACCGGGACAUGCUCUGGAAACUGG